ACGAAUGCAUUGUUUAUUUUAACAAUUUGUUUCUGUCAGCUUGUGGUUAUGCUUCCCACAGUGCUAUAGUAAAAUAGGGCUUUGAGAAAUGUGCUGUUGUUUCCUUUCAUAGCUGUCUCUUUCCUCUUCUUUUGGUCUUUCCUCAUCUGCCCCUCAGAGAACCUUUCCACUUCCUACCAGUCAGUCCAACAAAGUAGGGCCAUGCCGUUUCAGGAAACUGGAAUUUCUGAAAAGCCCAUUGAAUAUGGAAAGCAAUAUACCCCAGGAUAUGUCCUGCAGCUCAGAGUAAGAUGUUGCAAAAAGAGGAAAACUGACUGAUCUCCCACUUUGUGCUUUCAAAAAGAACAAAUACUUCAAAAACUUAGUUUCUCCCUCCUCCCCAUUACAGAAUCUGAUUUCAGCCCUGCACACUGUGCUCUCCUGGAUCCAUGGAUGCUAAGCUGCAGGUUCUGGAGGUGCCAACCCCUCAGAUGAAUUCAAUGUCUGCUCAACUCAGUCCAUUCAUUCACAGUUCCUGGAGUCUUUGCGUCCACCGACCCAGACGCCCAUCGCCGAUCGAGAGUAUUCCACGCAGCGGAUCGAGUUCCAGCAAGCAGAAGGAUCUUCAGUCACAGAGCACAUUGCAGAACUUACCUGACAGGCUGGACAGAACUAAGAGGAUGAAUCAACAUCUGGACAUGAGACCUGGAGUUGUAUCUUAAGGCCUAUGCCCGGUUCUGAGUGUCCUGAUGACACAGGCAUCAUCAAAUGGAGGUCCCACCAAGAUUGGAAAAGAGAGGACAACCUGACGAGAUGGUCCCAGGAAGCCGGCCAGUGAAGGAGGAACGUAUUGGGGAAAAUGGGCCAGGAAAGGUCCCAGUAAGCAGGAUACAGAAGCACCGUGGGCAUUGAAAGCACGUGCAAAGAAAAAUAAAGAUUUGGGGUACUGGAAGAAGAAUAUCCCUCAUCCACGGUCUUUAGACCUUUGGCUGUUAACAAAGAUGUUCUAUCCAUUUCAAGGCCUGAUACAACUCUCCCUCUCCUCAGCAACUGAGUUGUAAUGAAGGAGUGAGAACUCUGAAGCUCUGGAAGGAGAGUGAGCGAAUGGGUGUUCCCUGGCUCAAAUGUGAGUCUCUGGAAAAGCCACUG
rnacentral:sRNA from 1 species